UCAAGUCUGGUGCCAGCAGCCGCGGUAAUUCCAGCUCCAAUAGCGUAUAUUAAAGUUGUUGCAGUUAAAAAGCUCGUAGUUGAACCUUGGGCUUGGUUGGCCGGUCCGCCUUUUUGGCGAGUACUGGACCCAACCGAGCCUUUCCUUCUGGCUAACCUUUCGCCCUUGUGGUGUUUGGCGAACCAGGACUUUUACUUUGAAAAAAUUAGAGUGUUCAAAGCAGGCCUUUGCUCGAAUAUAUUAGCAUGGAAUAAUAGAAUAGGACGUUAUGGUUCUAUUUUGUUGGUUUCUAGGACCAUCGUAAUGAUUAAUAGGGACGGUCGGGGGCAUCAGUAUUCAGUUGUCAGAGGUGAAAUUCUUGGAUUUACUGAAGACUAACUACUGCGAAAGCAUUUGCCAA
rnacentral:rRNA from 1 species